AACUCUUAGGGGUGGGUCACUUGGCUCGUGUGUCGAUGAAGAAUGAAGCUAGCUGCAAGAGUUAGAAUGAAUGUGAAUUGCAGGACACAUUGAUCAUCGACACUUUGAACACACUUGUGGCCCCAGGUUCCUCCCGGAGCUACACCUGUCUAAGUGUUG
rnacentral:rRNA from 1 species